rnacentral:rRNA from 1 species
AUUGAACGCUGGCUGCAGGCCUAACACAUGCACGUCGAGCGAGCGGCGGCCGGGUGAGUGAUGUAUGGGGACUGCCCGAUAGAGGGGGAUAACUACUGGAAACGGUGGCUAAUACCGCAUACUAUCGGAUAACCCAUAUGGGAUUAGCUCGUAGGUAAGGUACUGGCUGACCUAGGCGACGAUCCCUAGCUGGUCUGAGAGGAUGAUCAGCCACACUGGGACUGAGACACGGCCCAGACUCCUACGGAGGCAGCAGUGGGGAAUAGUGCACAAUGGGCGCAAGCCUGAUGCAGCCAUGCCGCGUGUAUGAAGAAGGCCCUAGGGUUGUAAAGUACUUUCAGUCGGGAGGCGUUACCGACAGAAGAAGCACCGGCUAACUCCGUGCCAGCAGCCGCGGUAAUUC